CUUACGGUCAAUCGCAGGUGCAGUUCCAGUUUGAUCCAUUUGCCAAUAUAUGGGGUGAUGCCUGUAGUCAGGCGGCGGAAUCGGCAUCGACAUUACACGCUCCGACUGCCAACAACUAAGCUCGGAGUUGGUUGAGCUCUGUCCGCAGGAGAAUCAGGAGUACUGGUGCCCAAAGAAUGCCGGGGGUCCUAUGUACGACUGCAACCGUGAUCGCCAUAGGUCCGAGGACGAAAAAAUACUGAGAAGAGAGGAGAGUUGCCAAGAGGAAGCUAGAGGAGGAGGCGACAAUUGUCGAAUAAACACUCGAUUAACUCUUAGCCGAUUAGAUGUUAUAGGUUUCCUGAGCCUUGCCGAUGAAAUGCGAAAAACAACAAUCGAAACAACAGUACUCCAGAUACUCCUGCGGACAGAGCUCUUUAAUGUUCAUUAUAUGUAUAUUUUGUAUACCCAGUAUUCGAAGAGUUUAGAUAUACAUAUAUCCAGAAGGAAGUGUUUCCGACACUAUUCUUGAUCAGCA
rnacentral:misc_RNA from 1 species